AUUGAACGCUGGCGGCAGGCCUAACACAUGCAAGUCGAGCGAGAAAGCCUUCGGGUGAGUACAGCGGCGGACGGGUGAGUAACGCGUAGGAAUCUACCUGGUAGUGGGGGACAACAUGGGGAAACCCAUGCUAAUACCGCAUACGCCCUAUGGGGGAAAGCGGGGGACCUUCGGGCCUCGCGCUAUCAGAUGAGCCUGCGUAGGAUUAGCUUGUUGGUGAGGUAAAGGCUCACCAAGGCGACGAUCCUUAGCUGGUCUGAGAGGAUGAUCAGCCACACUGGAACUGAGACACGGUCCAGACUCCUACGGGAGGCAGCAGUGGGGAAUAUUGCGCAAUGGGCGAAAGCCUGACGCAGCCAUGCCGCGUGUGUGAAGAAGGCCUCGGUUGUAAGACACUU
rnacentral:rRNA from 1 species